AUUGAACGCUGGCGGCAGGCCUAACACAUGCAAGUCGAGCGAGCGGCGGACGGGUGAGUAAUGUCUGGGAAACUGCCUGAUGGAGGGGGAUAACUACUGGAAACGGUAGCUAAUACCGCAUACUAUCAGAUGAGCCUAGGUCGGAUUAGCUAGUUGGUGGGGUAAAGGCCUACCAAGGCGACGAUCCGUAACUGGUCUGAGAGGAUGAUCAGUCACACUGGAACUGAGACACGGUCCAGACUCCUACGGGAGGCAGCAGUGGGGAAUAUUGCACAAUGGGCGCAAGCCUGAUGCAGCCAUGCCGCGUGUGUGAAGAAGGCCUUCGGGUUGUAAAGCACUUUCAGCGGGGAGGCGUUACCCGCAGAAGAAGCACCGGCUAACUCCGUGCCAGCCGCCGCGGUAAUAC
rnacentral:rRNA from 1 species